rnacentral:rRNA from 1 species
GCACAGCGGUGGAGCAUGUGGUUUAAUUCGAUGCAACGCGAAGAACCUUACCAGCUCUUGACAUCCCGGUCGCGGAUCGCAGAGAUGCUUUCCUCAGUUCGGCUGGACCGGUGACAGGUGCUGCAUGGCUGUCGUCAGCUCGUGUCGUGAGAUGUUGGGUUAAGUCCCGCAACGAGCGCAACCCUCAUCUUCAGUUGCCAGCGGUUCGGCCGGGCACUCUGAAGAAACUGCCGGUGACAAGCCGGAGGAAGGCGGGGAUGACGUCAAGUCCUCAUGGCCCUUAUGAGCUGGGCUACACACGUGCUACAAUGGCGGCGACAGUGGGAAGCAAGACCGCGAGGUGGAGCUAAUCCCCAAAAGCCGUCUCAGUUCGGAUUGUUCUCUGCAACUCGAGAGCAUGAAGUCGGAAUCGCUAGUAAUCGUGGAUCCAGCAUGCCACGGUAGAAUACGUUCCCGGGCCUU